rnacentral:lncRNA from 1 species
AGAACCUUUAUCAGAAAGGAUGGAGUUGGGACAAGGAAAACUUCUCAGGACUGGACUGAAUACAUUAUAUCAAGCAAUACACCCAAUUCACGGCCUUGCUUGGACUGAUGGGACUCAGGUAGUCCUGACCAAUUUACAGCUUCACAGUGGAGAGGCCAAAUUUGGGGACUCAACAGUCCUUGGGCAGUUUGAAUAUGUGUAUGGGGUGUCCUGGGCUCCGCCUGGUGCAGCUGACACACCCACUCUGCUCGCUGUCCAGCACGAGAAGUGUGUCAUCGUGUGGCAGCUGUGUCCUAGCCCUGCAGAAGAGCCAAGCAAGUGGCUGAUGUCUCAGCCCUGUGAGAUCAGACAGUCAUGCCCUGUCCUUCCCCAGGGCUGUGUGUGGCACCCAGAAAGUGCCAUCCUGACUGUGCUGACUGCUCGGGAUGUCUCCGUAUUCUACAACAUCCACGGUGACAGUUCCCAAGUCAAAGUGGACGUCAGCACCCAAGGCCUCAUUCACUGUGCGUGUUGGACCCAGGAUGGCCAGAGGCUGGUGGUGGCAGCAGGCAGCAGCCUGCACUCUUACAUUUGGGACAGUGCUCAGAAGACUCUUCACAGGUGCUCCCUCUGUCCCGUCUUUGAUGUGGACAGCUACGUGCGCUCAAUCGGGGCCACUGUGGACUCACAGGUCGCUAUAGCCACUGAGCUUCCGCUGGACAAGAUUUGUGGGUUAAAUGCUUCUGGAACUUUUGACGUUCCCCCUAGUGGUGAAGACACUUGUCUGCGUGCUUUACCAGUUACUGAUCCACUUUCCUCUGAAACAAAUUCUGAAACACCAGUGUCGUCAUCCUUUUCUGAGCCUCUGGAUCUAACUCAUAUCCACUUCAACAGAUUUAAAUCUGAGGGUAGUUCUCUUACUUGUCUAAGAAAAAAAGACUACUUGACAGGAACUGGCCUAGAUUCUUCACAUUUGGUCCUUUUGACCUUUGAGAAGGAGGUUACCUGCAACAGAAAAGUCAUCAUUCCAGGCAUUCUGGUUCCUGAUCUAAUAGCAUUUAAUCUCAAAGCACAAGCAGUCGCAGUGGCUUCCAAUACAUCUAAUGUAAUUUUUAUCUAUUCUGUCAUUCCGUUAUUAAUGCCAAACAUCCAGCAGAUUCAGUUAGAAAGUAAUGAAAGACCAAAAGGCAUAUGUUUCUUGACAGAUGAAUUACUAUUAAUUUUGGUGGGAAGACAAAAGUCCACUGACUCGGCAUUUCUUCCUUCUUCAAAAUCUGAUCAGUAUAUGAUUCGUUUGAUUGUUAGAGAGGUAAUGCUGAAAGAAGACUCUCCAGUAACACUGAGUGAAAACCAGAGUGGUAACUCUGCUUUCAGUACUCUGAUAAAUAAAACAAAUAUAAAAAAGCUAAUUGAAGAUCUUUCGCCGGAUUUUUGUCACCAAAGCAGAGGGCUCUUGUUCACAGCUAAUAGCAGCAGUCAAAGUGGACGGCCUGGAAGAACCCUUAUUGAAGAAAUAGAAAGUCCUGCAUCCAGCAUCUGUGAUGGCUCCACAGUCCUAGAAACUCUAGAUGCCAAGCCUGUUAACUGGUCAGUAACACUGCCCAGACCCAGCAGCACACCAGCCCACACCAGUACCGCAGAACCUCCUAACUUAGAACGGGAAAAGGAAAUGUACCAGCUGUCUAAGGAACUGGAAGUUGUAUCUAGGAACCUGAGUGAAGUGCAGCGACAUCUUUCUGAACUCAGCAACUUUCUGCACAAUGGAAAGAAAUCCUCUCCAGUGUACCCACUCUCUCAGGAUCUGCCUUAUGUUCACAUCACUUGCCAGAAAUGUCAUUUUGUACGUCCUGUUGUUGAAAAAAGAAUGAUGCUUCUCUGCAAUGGCAAGCUAAGACUCAGCACAGUCCAACAGACUUUCGGCCUCUCUCUUGUUGAAAUGCUGCAUGACUCCCACUGGAUCCUUCUUUGUGCGGACAGUGAAGGCUUCGUCCCCUUAACUUUCACAGCCACACAGGAAAUAAUCAUAAGAGAUGGCAGGUCAGAUGACUUCCAAAACUCUGCCUCAGAGCCUUGA